CCUUCCUGUCUUGGAAGCAGGAGCUGGAAAGAGCAGAAGAGAUGGGAGUGUGGCUCUGCCCGGGUUCCAUCUGGAGACUGGGAAGGGCUCCCUCACCGAGCACCCCAGCCAGUCUGAGGCAGCACAGCCACAGCAGGGUGGCUUCAUCAUGAGCAGACAGCCUCUCCAGAUGGAUGAUUACCAGGGUGAGCCACUUUCUCCCGCCAUCCUCUUCUGCUAUGCUAUUUCUGUCUUGGAGCCAGCUGGAUAUGGACUGAACCCUCUGAAACUGUGAGCCAAGAUAAACAUUUCUUCCUCAUGUUUAAUUGAAGUAAUGUAUGCAUUCUCCAAAUUAUUAAUUGAAAAGAAAUUGUCUGACUUACCACUAACUGAAUAUUAC
ensembl:lncRNA